CAGCAGCCACGGGAAAACGGAGGGUGCAAGCGUUAUCCGGAUUCACUGGGUUUAAAGGGUGCGUAGGCGGAUCUGUAAGUCAGUGGUGAAAUCUCCAGGCUUAACCUGGAAACUGCCGUUGAUACUAUAGGUCUUGAAUUUUGUGGAGGUUAGCGGAAUAUGUCAUGUAGCGGUGAAAUGCAUAGAUAUGACAUAGAACACCAAUUGCGAAGGCAGCUGGCUACACAACUAUUGACGCUGAGGCACGAAAGCGUGGGGAUCAAACAGGAUUAGAUACCCGCGUAGUCCCUGUCUCUUAUAC
rnacentral:rRNA from 1 species